GUCGGGGAAGGCAGGGAUGCCUUGGAGCUCCUUCUUGUCCUGCUCUCAGGCAUCACGUGGAGCCGCUGGCUUCUCUAAAAUACAAGAACCUGCACGAGAGGACGUGGGAAAAGCCGCCUUGUGCCCAUGAAGCAGGUCCAGGACUGAAGCCCUGGUGGUUUGUGGCACUUCCCUUAGGGCUGGUUUCUUGGCCUUUAACCCAUCUCCAAAUUGUAUUGUGAAAAUAAAAAUCAAGCUGGAAAGGUCACUUCUGUGGCAGAAGCAGCUGUUAUGGCAUAGGGAUAAAUGCACAGGAAUAUUUAUUCCUUCCUGCUGGGUUCCUCUAAUUGCAUCUCCAGGCCUCGCUGCUGGCCAGAUGUCCUGGGACAAGCCCCACGUCGCCUCUUCUGCCGUGGCUGGUGCUCUUGGAUGCUGUACGUGGUUGUGCUAGAAGGUCAGAUCUGUGCAUUCCCAGCUUGCCAAGCAGUGCUUCUGUCCCAUAGGGCGCUGAUCGGAGCGAUGCUGGGUGAGGUGAUGGUGCUCAGGAGUCCCUGCAGAAGACCCAGAGGAGAGCAAAGCACUGCUCUGGCUCAGGCUGCAGCCACAGGGGGGAAAAAACCCUCCCAAAGCACAAAGUGAUGGGGAUAAUGGUGAUUUCUGCACCAAGUGAGCAAGAGCAUCCUUGCCAUGGCAUGAUGGCAUGAUGCAGGCUGUCACUGCCCAUCCUCUGUGGGACAGACAGACAGACAGACAGGCUGGGAGCACUGAGAGGAGGGAGAUCAGCCCUCACUCGCCCAGGAGCAUCCUCCUGCUCCCCACAGCUUGAGGUUGGUGGGAGGCCAACACAGCUCUUUGCAACCCCCCUCCGGUGCUCUCACCAGCAGGGAUGCUCACAGCCCAUGCACACUCGUUAGCCACAUCAGCACUUCUGCCCUUUCAGCCUCUUGCUCGAUUUUUGGCUUGGCUGAGACCCUGCAGACUGAAUUACACCCUGUGUGUGUGAGCAAAGCUCUCCCUGCUCUGGGCUCUGCAUCAUCCCUCCCUCCUCACCCCUCGCCUUGUCGUUGGGGUUAAUGCAAAGCCCCCGAGGUCCCCGAGCCUUCCCCGGAGCAUCUUUUGCUGGGCUCAUGGCUCAGACCCCUGGCAAUUAACCCUGCCCACGCAGCUUCGUUAGCAGCCCUGCGAAGGUCCCUCCACCUGCAGACAAAAGUCUUGCUAAUGAUGGAAGCAUCUCGUGGAGGAGCUGGAACAGCGUGGGAGCUGCGGGGACGGCGAUGCGGUGCUCUGUUAAAAUAAAACCAGCCCUGCCUGGCCUUUUCAUCUGCAGCAGUAAUGAGGUUCCUCAGCCACCCCAGCUCCCUUGGAGCAUCCAAGUCGGGAGCUGAUUCUCUGAGCUCCUUGUGGUGGGGCUGGAGGGGCUCCAACACCUCCCAGCCCCCCACAUCUGGCUGGGGAGGGACCGCAGUGGGACCAGGCUGAGGUCCUGGGGUCCUGUACCUGCAUGUGGUGGGGCUCUGCGAUGCCAAAAGCUGCCCAUAGCGGGUGUGCAGUGGAGUCAGGAACUGGUGAGAAAAUGAUCUCGGUGAAUUGCUUUGGCUGAAGCAAACAAGGUGCAGGAGGAAGGCAAGGGUUUGUUGCACCCCCAAAAGCUCUUCCGAGCAAAUCCUGCCCAGACUUUGCACCCUUCCUCGCGAGGUGCAGCAGGACGUGGUGGAGCCCCGUGGAGGGAUGCCACUGGGAUGAUUUGUGGUGUCUUUGCCAGUUGCUGUGGGCUGCGUUUCGCAGCGCUCCUGCCGUGCUGUGUGCCCCGAGCUGCUGGGACCGCGCUGGCUUUUCUCUCCGUGUGAUGAAGCGCUGGGAGCUGCUUUGCGGCGACAGGCAGAUGUUCAGCCCCCGUGAAAUCACAGAGGUGUGCUUUCAGACAUGGUGCUGCGCCUGAUUUAUUGCCCUUUCACUGCCUCUUCCUCAUACCGAGUGGGGACAGGGAUGGGAGAAGCGACGAGAUUUCAGCACCACCGAAGACAAAACCUGAUCUUGGCUGUUCUGGUGGCACCUUUUGGCUUCUUUCUUGAUCUUCUCCUCUGAAUAUUUUUUUUUCCUAAACCCUCCUACCCUCUUAAAGACAGAGAGCUGAUCCCAGUAAACAUGCUAAGUGUGAUGCCAACCCCAAACCUGUGUUCCCGUAGCCUCCAAGACUGAUGUCAGGGGACCCUCAACCAUAUGAAUCCAGGUGGUAACCUUCAUGCAUCAGGAGCUGCUGCUGGUGUGUAGCAGAACGUGCCCCGAUGUAUUUCUGAGGCUGAUACCCCUGGAUCCUCCCCAGGAUCCAGCUCACACUGCUGGGUGCAGAGCCCUAAAGCUGGGAAAAGCCAAAUCAUCAAGGCAGAGAGGGGUCUGCAGCUGCAGGCAGGCAGGGCUCGGUCCCCUGCACCCUCUCCAUCUUCCCUUCUUCGGGCCCACCUCAAUUUGGGGUUGCUGCGGUCGCUUGGUGUUUUCUGGGGUCCUCGAGAUGUUGGGAGUGGAGACGACUGCAGCGCGAUCGGGAGGUUCAGACGCUGGCUAAUCCUGUUAGGAAGGCAGUGGUUAUUGCAGGGCUUCCAGUGGGACCUGCUAAAUGAGCCGUAAUUCUCUAAUGUGAUUUCCUUUUCCCGGCCAGACUAAAUGUUCUUGGCCACUGGGAAUAAAAGGCUGAAAAAAAAAAAAAAAAGGGGGAAGCCUGUCCAAGGCCCUGUCAAUCUUGAUGGUAUCAAGGAAGCGAAGAGCUCUCNNNNNNNNNNAACACAAAACAUGGGGAGGGGGAAGCCUGUCCAAGGCCCUGUCAAUCUUGAUGGUAUCAAGGAAGCGAAGAGCUCUCGGAUGUGGCUGUUUAUUGCAGCUCACUUCUGCGCCCCGUCAGCGCAGCGGCAAGGGCCGUAGAUUGCCCCGUGUGCUCCUCUGCAGGGGGUUGAUAGGACCCCGGGAGCAAGAAAAACACAUUCGAGGUUGUGAUAUCUCUCCAAAAUUCUGCACGGGUGAGAGAGGCUGCUUUAUGAGCCAGCAGGAAGCUGGAGAGGGAAGGGGAAGCAGGCUGCGGAGCUAGCGAGGAGAAAACAUUCCCCGGGAAAAAAAAAAAACAGUGAUUUCUUUGUGAGAAAGCUGAAUCGCGCAAAAAAGCGUCCAAAGUGGGUUUUGUUCUGCCUUACAGCUACAAGGGGGAGAGCAAGCG
rnacentral:lncRNA from 1 species